ensembl:lncRNA
AUAAUUUAACAGCAGGGGGCAGUACUAUAAUUUAAUUAUACCCAUUAGAUUAGAAACGGGUUGGGCAACUGGUGGUAUUUUACAGGAUAUUUUCUACCUGCAGGCUGCAAUGGUUUUUAUGUCUUGGCUUUAUGUCGGGUAUUUUUUUUUUUUUACGUAGUUGGCAACGGCAGUAAAAUGAACUUUUAGAUUUGUGUAGUUUUAAUUUAGAUUUAGAAUAUAGAUUAACAACAGACUAUGAGAUACAAAGACUAGUAUAAAUGGAAGGAAACAGUUCUACGGAAAUGGUAACCAUAACCGGUAGGUAGAUCGGUAGAAAUGGUAACCAUAACCGGUAGGUAGAUCGGUAGAAAUGGUAACCAUAACCGGUAGGUAGAUUGGUAGAAAUGGUAAGAUACAUUUCCAAAUGGAAAAGGUUGUCUUUUUCCGGUAACUUCGGG